UACCAAAAACAUAGGUUUCUGCUAAGUCGCAAGACGAUGUAUAGGAGCUGACGCCUGCCCGGUGCUGGAAGGUUAAGGGGAUCUGUUAGAGCAAUCGAAGCAGUGAACUUAAGCCCCAGUAAACGGCGGCCGUAACUAUAACGGUCCUAAGGUAGCGAAAUUCCUUGUCGGGUAAGUUCCGACCCGCACGAAAGGCGUAACGAUUUGGGCACUGUCUCAACAACAGACUCGGUGAAAUUGUAAUUCCGGUGAAGAUGCCGGAUACCUGCGACAGGACGGAAAGACCCCAUGGAGCUUUACUGUAGCUUGACAUUGGGUCUUGGUACUACAUGUACAGGAUAGGUGGGAGGCUUUGAAACCAGGACGCCAGUUUUGGCGGAGCCAUCCUUGGGAUACCACCCUUGUAGUACUGGGACUCUAACCAUAGGCCAUGAAUCUGGUCUUGGGACACUGUCAGGUGGGCAGUUUGACUGGGGCGGUCGCCUCCCAAAAGGUAACGGAGGCGCUCAAAGGUUCUCUCAGUACGGUCGGAAAUCGUACGUAGAGUGUAAAGGCAAAAGAGAGCUUGAUUGCAAGACAUACAGGUCGAGCAAGGAUGAAAAUCGGACUUAGUGAUCCGGUGGUUCUGCGUGGAAGGGCCAUCGCUCAACGGAUAAAAGCUACCCUGGGGAUAACAGGCUUAUCUCCCCCAAGAGUCCACAUCGACGGGGAGGUUUGGCACCUCGAUGUCGGCUCAUCACAUCCUGGGGCUGUAGUAGGUCCCAAGGGUUGGGCUGUUCGCCCAUUAAAGUGGUACGCGAGCUGGGUUCAGAACGUCGUGAGACAGUUCGGUCCCUAUCCGUCGCAGGCGUAGGAAAUUUGAGAAGACCUGUCCUUAGUACGAGAGGACCGGGAUGGACG
rnacentral:rRNA from 1 species